rnacentral:rRNA from 1 species
CUACGGGUCGCACCAGUCGAGAAUCUUCCGCAAUGGACGAAAGUCUGACGGAGCGACGCCGCGUGAUUGAUGAAGCCCCUUUGGGGCGUAAAGAUCUUUUAUGAGGGAAGAAGUUUAUUGACGGUACCUCAUGAAUAAGAGGCUCCUAAUCUCGUGCCAGCAGGAGCGGUAAUACGAGAGCCUCGAGCGUUAUCCGGAAUUAUUGGGCGUAAAGGGUGCGUAGGUUGUUUUAUUAGUCUUUUGUUAAAACCCCAAGCUUAACUUGGGAGGUGCAAAAGAAACGGUAAAACUUGAAAGUGUGAGAGGCGUACGGAACUCAUGGUGUAGGGGUGAAAUCCGUUGAUAUCAUGGGGAACACCAAAAGCGAAGGCAGUACGCUGGCACAUAUUUGACGCUGAGGCACGAAAGCGUGGGUAGCGAAUGGGAUUAGAUACCCUGGUAGUC